UACGUAGGGUGCGAGCGUUAAUCGGAAUACUGGGCGUAAAGCGUGCGCAGGCGGUGAUGUAAGACAGGUGUGAAAUCCCCGGGCUUAACCUGGGAACUGCAUUUGUGACUGCAUCGCUGGAGUGCGGCAGAGGGGGAUGGAAUUCCGCGUGUAGCAGUGAAAUGCGUAGAUAUGCGGAGGAACACCGAUGGCGAAGGCAAUCCCCUGGGCCUGCACUGACGCUCAUGCACGAAAGCGUGGGGAGC
rnacentral:rRNA from 1 species